rnacentral:rRNA from 1 species
CGAUGAAGCCCUUCGGGGUGUAAAGCUCUUUCGGCAGGAACGAUAAUGACGGUACCUGCAGAAGAAGCUGCGGCUAGCUACGUGC